CAUUAGUGCACAUUUAUCGAAACCACCAAUUUUCGGUAGUCAUCUCCUCCAAAAACUGUGCGCGGUUGGCUUCGCUUUCUAUGCACGCAUGGCUAAUUGUGUGUUAUGGAAGGGAGAAAACAGAACGAAAUGGAGGAUGUGCUCAUCUGGAAGAUUUUUUCUCAAAUAUC
ensembl:ncRNA T02E9.24 ncRNA